GGGUGUGACUAGUGACAGAAUGAGGGAGGGUGUGACUAGUGACAGAAUGAGGGAGGGAGAUGGUGACUAGUGACAGAGUGAGGGAGGUGGUGACUGUCACCCCAUCCCUCCCUCUGUCACUAGUCACUCCCUCCCUAACUCUGUCACUAGUCAUCCCCUCACUUUGUCACUAGUCACCCCCUCCCUCUGUCACUGUGUCACCCCAUCCCUCCCUCUGUCACCCCAUCCCUCCCUCUGUCACCCCCUCCCUCACUCUGUCACUAGUCAUACCCUCCCUCACUCUGUCACCAGUCAUACCC